rnacentral:rRNA from 1 species
UACGGAGGGUGCAAACGUUGCUCGGAAUCAUUGGGCGUAAAGCGCGUGUAGGCGGUUCGGUAAGUCGGCUGUGAAAGUCCAGGGCUCAACCCUGGGAUGCCGGUCGAUACUGCCGGACUAGAGUUCGGAAGAGGCGAGCGGAAUUCCCGGUGUAGCGGUGAAAUGCGCAGAUAUCGGGAGGAACACCAAUGGCGAAGGCAGCUCGCUGGGACGUUACUGACACUGAGGCGCGAAAGCGUGGGGAGCGAACAGG